GACGAACGCUGGCGGCGUGCUUAACACAUGCAAGUCGAACGAAGAACCUUCCUUCGGGAAGGGGACGAGUGGCGAACGGGUGAGUAACACGUGGGCAACCUGCCCCUCGCUCUGGGAUAACCCCGGGAAACCGGGGCUAAUACCGGAUAUUCAACUCCGCAGGCAUCUGUGGGGUUGGAAAGGAUUCUGGCGAGGGAUGGGCCCGCGGCCUAUCAGCUUGUUGGUGGGGUAAUGGCCUACCAAGGCGACGACGGGUAACCGGCCUGAGAGGGCGACCGGUCACACUGGGACUGAGACACGGCCCAGACUCCUACGGGAGGCAGCAGUGGGGAAUAUUGCGCAAUGGGCGAAAGCCUGACGCAGCAACGCCGCGUGAGGGAUGAAGUACGUCGAGAUGUAAACCUCUUUCAGCAGGGACGAAGCGAAAGUGACGGUACCUGCAGAAGAAGCGCCGGCUAAACUACGUGCCAGCAGCCGCGGUAAU
rnacentral:rRNA from 1 species